rnacentral:rRNA from 11 species
UUGCCUGUUCAUAUUCUAAAGGCACCAAAUCCUGUCUGAUCUUGGAAAGCUAAGCAGAGUCAGCCUUGGUUAAUAGUUCAAAGGGACUAACCAAUAUUAGGUGCUGGAGCCUAUAUUUCAGAAAAAGGAAUUGGCAAA